rnacentral:lncRNA from 1 species
CACAGAAAAGAGAGGUGAUAUUCUUUGCUCCACACCUUCUUAAGGGCAGCAAAGAGAGGGAGGAUAUUUGAUCACCAUGCCUUAGAGAGACCUGGAAGGGUGUCUUUAUGCCAAGAACCCCAUGCCAAGAAUUUUCCAUGCAAAGAAGAAGAGGCGCCAAAUCUGAUAGCGCUCUCCCUAGUCUCAUGACAAUCACUCUCUUUCUCUCU